AAGAAACACAAUGAAGAACUGCGAACCGAGAAGAAGACUCAGAAAGCACAGACAAGCCAUGCUGCGAAGUAGCCUGCAGCCAGAAGAGCCUCCAUGAGGUAAAUGAGGAUCCACAAGAAGGUGAUGACUGAGGCAAGGAAAUUGCACAGAAAAUACAUAUUUAUACACUUCUCCAUAAAGGUGCAUGUCUUUGGAGGUGGGAGGAAGCCGGAGUACCCGGAGGGAACCCACGCAGUCACGGGGAGAACAUGCAAACUCCACACAGAAAGAUCCCGAGGCCGGGAUUGAACUCACGACUACUCAGGACCUUCGUAUUGUGAGGCAGACGCACUAACCCCUCUGCCACCGUGCUGCACUGAAAUGUUUCUCUCACACACACUACUGAAACACUCAUACAACGGCGCCUCAUACGCUCCCUGUGUGUACGCAUGUACUUGUGCACGUGAGUACAUGUGUUCACAUGUACAUGAUGUUUUGAUGUACAGUAUAUUAUUAGAUCAUGUAAUAAAGACACCCAUAAACAACUUUACAUAUGUUUGUGUUUGAGAGAAGGUGCCUUGACGAGAAGUCAGUGUGUUGAUAAGAACUGUGACAGUUGUCAAUAAAGAA